UACGAAGGGGGCUAGCGUUGCUCGGAAUUACUGGGCGUAAAGGGCUCGUAGGCGGCCAACUAAGUCAGACGUGAAAUCCCUCGGCUUAACCGGGGAACUGCGUCUGAUACUGGAUGGCUUGAGUGUGGGAGAGGGAUGCGGAAUUCCAGGUGUAGCGGUGAAAUGCGUAGAUAUCUGGAGGAACACCGGUGGCGAAGGCGGCAUCCUGGACCACGACUGACGCUGAGUGAGCGAAAGCCAGGGGAGCAAACGGG
rnacentral:rRNA from 1 species